ACUUAAGGAGAUCCUGAUCCAGCAUUCAUCGCCAGUUAAUUGCCCCUGAUGGACAUUCUGACCACGAGUGGACACCUGAGUCAUCGGAUUACCAGAGCCACAGAACCUCUCGGAACACCAAGAGCCUCCAGCCACGUCUCGAGCCAUCUCUGACCUCCAGCCACGCCACGAGCCAACUCCGAACACCAUCCUCGCCUCAAGCCACAACCGUCAAGCUGCAUUCAGAAACUUCGCCCACUGCUCUCCAGCCUCCAGCCUCUUCAAGAUUUCCAAGCCACCUCAAAUUACAUUAAACCUGACUUACCAACUUA